CCUACGGGGGACAGCAGUGGGGGAUAUUGCACAAUGGGGGGAACCCUGAUGCAGCGACGCCGCGUGGGUGAAGAAGCGCCUCGGCGCGUAAAGCUCUGUCAGCAGGGAAGAAAAUGACGGUACCUGAAGAAGAAGCCCCGGCCAAUUACGUGCCAGCAGCCGCGGUACGACGGAGGGGGCGAGCGUUAUCCGGAUUUACUGGGUGUAACGGGGGCGCAGACGGCGAUGCAAGCCAGGAGUGAAAGCUCGGUGCCCAACCCCGGGACUGCUCUUGGAACUGCGUGGCUGGAGUGCAGGAGGGGCAGGCGGAAUGCCUGGUGUAGCGGUGAAAUGCGUAGAUAUCAGGAGGAACACCGGUGGCGAAGGCGGCCUGCUGGACUGCAACUGACGUUGAGGCCCGAAAGCGUGGGGAGCAAACAGGAUUAGAUACCCCAGUAGUC
rnacentral:rRNA from 1 species